GACGUAGGGCGCGAGCGUUGUCCGGAUUUAUUGGGCGUAAAGAGCUCGUAGGCGGUUUGUCGCGUCUGCUGUGAAAACUGGGGGCUCAACCCCCAGCCUGCAGUGGGUACGGGCAGACUAGAGUGCGGUAGGGGAGAUUGGAAUUCCUGGUGUAGCGGUGGAAUGCGCAGAUAUCAGGAGGAACACCGAUGGCGGAGGCAGAUCUCUGGGCCGUAACUGACGCUGAGGAGCGAAAGCAUGGGGAGCGAACAGG
rnacentral:rRNA from 1 species